UGGUGAACACAAUGGAAUAGACUGGUCUGCCUUACAAGCAGAAGGUCCGCGGUUCGAGCCCGCGACCGUCCACCA
rnacentral:tRNA from 1 species